UAGAAAAUAUGUAAACACACCUCUCUGAAUGAUUUGUGAUUCCAUACCUUCAUCGGAUCCAAAAAGGGUCUUAAGGUUCUCAUAUUUAUUUAUCUUUCGGCUUUAUAAAAUGAAAGAAGAUCCGUAUCACUUAAGAUCGGGAGAAUCUUUUUCUUUAUUUACAUUUUAUUGCCACUUCAUGUUGCUUAAUGCAUAUUUCUUUAUGUUAUUAAAUCUGGCCAUAAUCAGUGCCAAUAUUUAUACUCAGCUAUGUUUUUCUAUUUAUAUUAUUCAUCUCGGUUCUAGAGUUCAUUAGCUUUAACUAUGAUUUCUCCUUUCAUUUUCUUUGAUUGAUUUGUUCAAAAAGGUUCCGAUAUAUUUUGGGUCAAGAAAUUUGUCAAUGUUUGUCAGAAUCUUCUAAUUAAAAUUUUAGUUUACUGUAGAUCCAAAAUUCAAUUUCAACUAUAGAGCGUCUUCAGAGAAUCCAAACAAAUUUGAUACACUGAAUACUUUUUGUAUUUGAUGCUUGUGCAAAUGAGAUACUGAAGAGAAUUAUAUAUUAAAAAUUACGUUAGCUAAGGGUUUGUUGCCUUAAUUUUUUGGGCAAUUAGCACACAAGUAUCAUGAAAUGCUGUUACUCCUACGCAUUUAAAGAUUGUGAUUUUUUGAUAGCGAGUGCAUUCGAUUAGGCUAAAAAUAUGCUAGAUUUUUUAUCUCUUAUACAAAAAAAAGUGAGGAAGCUAGUUCUAGCACAAUAUACUUCUAAUUUGUUGCCAUCAUACUUUAGACAUUAUUAAUUUCCGGCGUGUAAGAACGAGAAACAAAGACACUUUUAUGUGACUUCUUGCAUUAUCAAGGAGACGGCGGGAUUUUUAUAAAGAGAAGCAGAGGUUAAAUAUCCUACUAAUCAAUUCUUUGAGUUCUCUUUGCAAAGAUGAAAGGAUGAUUUCCUUCCAUAUAUGAGUGGUUAUUUGUGAAUGACAAUGAAAAUUUUUACUGUUUUUUUAGUCCUCAGCCAUUUUAAAUGAUGUGAAAGGAAACCCUGACAAACGUUAAUGAAACAAAGCUUAACAAUAACACACAUUUCUAUUAUUUCAUUAAUGCUCUCCACUUUUCACUUUUUUCUAUUAAGUGCACCCUAUUACUGCUCAUAACAAUUGAUGUUUUUUUUGCAAAUUUUAGUUUAUUCUUUCUUUACAGUGACCUAAUAUUACACUUGUCAGCUAAAUUACCACGGUUGAGAGUUGUGGUUUUGCAGAGUGAUGUCCUUUCAGGCCUUCGUGUGAUUUGUCAUGCCAACUUUACUUUUUUGCUUUGACAUUUACAAGGAGUGAAACUAGUUCUCAAGUAUGGAUCACGGCAAAUCAUCCUCCGAUAUUGCUCACAACCCAUCGUCAACCAAGUCACAUGUACUUUCCAAAUAAAAGAACGAAGGCUACAAAAAUAUGAGGUAGGAAUUCAUGAGCUACUAUCCAAGUUUGACGAGUGUCAACUCGACCAGAUACCCCGAGCAUAAAAAGGCCUUGACAAAUAGGUAGCAGCUACUGAAAGCAUAAUCGAAGAAGGGAAUAUGAUCAAACUGAGGUAACGUAGGGUUGUGCAUUCGAUUUAUCGAUUCGAAUUUGACCCUUAUCGAUAAUUACUUAUCGAUUAUCAAUUUGUACAUAUGCUUAUCGUUAUCAUUUCAGUAAGAUUUUGAUUUUUUCGAUUUCGAUUUUCUCGAUUUUGAUAAUAAAUAAUCAAUUCCUAGGUUUGUGGAUAAGUUGUAUGUUAUAUUAAUCUACACAAAUAGGUAAUUACUUAUUUUACCAAUGUCUACAGUCUAGGGUUGUGCAUUCGAUUUAUCGAUUCGAAUUUGACCCUUAUCGAUAAUUACUUAUCGAUUAUCAAUUUGUACAUAUGCUUAUCGUUAUCGUUUCAAUAAGAUUUUUAUUUUUUCGAUUU
rnacentral:lncRNA from 1 species